rnacentral:lncRNA from 1 species
GUAAGCAUCGUUUGAUAUGUUAACUAUUGACUAGUUUAACCAAUUAGGUUAGACCAGGCUCUUUUAAUAUCUCGAAAGUUAUGAAACACAUCUCAUGUAUAUGUAUGAGCUGCAUCCAUUAUCCAUGCCAUCACCAAUAACAACAAAGCCGUAAGGCAUUAUCAACAUUACUAAUAAGAAAACAGUUAGAGGGAAUGGUGCCUAUAGUUGCAUUCUUCAUCAUCCAGAACAUAAAUGAGAUCCAAACUCAAGGUACAUGCUUGUCACCUGUAUAGUAAAUUAGCUUGCUAAAACUUUCUUUUAAAGAUUACUAAAUUGUGAAGAUAAAUAUAGUUUUUUUUUAUGCAAUUCAACUCAAAGGGUUUGAGUGAGUCAAGCCUAUGUUGAGUAGUGGCAAGUUGAACAGAUCCAAGUCAUUUUUCUAAGCUUUUGGUAUUUUGUUCUGAUUUUUUAUUUCAUCGUUAGAGAAGUUGUCGUUAGAAAAAGUUGUAAAGUGACAAUUUUUUUUGGAGUUCUACUAGGAAAAAGGUAUAGAGUCCAAGGAUGUGUCUAGAUUCAUCAUGUUUAAUGUCUUAGUGAGAAAGUUCACCAUAGCAGAAAAUGAUAGACCUAAGUUGUACUCAUCUUUUCCUAUCGAUUUCUAGCAAACAAAACAUCUCCAAUGCUGGAUUUCUUUCACUGGACAGAACUGAAAAUUGCAUUCAUUCUUUACAAUAUUGGCCUGUAAAUUGGGACCUAUGAACUGAAGUAAAAUUGAAUGUUUUCCUGGCCCUAAUAGUAAUGCCUUAGUUUCUGACAAAUUUCUAAGCUGGAAUCAGUCAUGAGUGGUCAGAUUAUUUGGGUGCAGUUAUCCUGUAAGAGACAAGGUGAGCUUGUUAUUUUGAAAUUUACUCUGGUCAAGAAAGUGGAAAAUCUGUGUAGUCUCUCUGGCCAAACACCGAGUGAUGCCAGCUGUUUCUGUUGACAGCCACAUCUUCUGGAUGUCACCACCUCGUAAUUAGGCAAUUUUAAUUAUAAUUUAUCUUGUUAAAGAAAGUAAUAAAUCUGUCUAGUGACAGAUUGUUUCAGAUGGCACAAAGUGCAGGGGUAUGUGCACUUGACUUGAGCAAAUUCUUCAUAUAUUAUUAUAAUGUCACACAUUGUACGUGUGACAAGUUUUUAAAGGAGAGCAUGAUAGGACCCUAGCAGGGUUGGGUCCUACUCAACUAAGAAGCAGCUAAUAAAAACCCUGUGAGAUUGUAAUAAACCCCACCUAGCCGCCUCUAUCCUAUAAAGAAGAGUGGCUAGGGUUUAUUUUGGGCCUUUGGGCUUCCUAGCCACCGCCCCCCUUUUACUGGGCUGGUCGACUAGGAUUGAGGGUAAAAGGGGUAACUCACUUAGGAAGCAGCCCCUAGGGCUAGGGUUUGGAGCCCUAUAUAAGCAUGUAGCCUCCAUCUCUUUGGGAACAAGAUUUAUCUACAAUUGCAGCCAUUUGGCUGACUUCUAGGAGGGUGGAACCCCUAUACCGUUUCAAGGGUUGAUCCCCCUCAAAGAUCAAUCUACAUAUAAUUCCUCUGGGGUUCUAUCAUCUGGUAUCAGAGUAGCGAUCUUGUUGCUUUUGCUGCCAACCCUGCCGCCCACUACCAGCCAAGCAAUUCCCACAAUUGCUCUUGACGUCGUCAUCUCCAUCAUCAUCUUCUGCUGUAGAUCAAAUCAAUCUACUGCCGUCACCUCCAAUUGCAUCAGAGAUGUGUUAUUCUCCUAUCACCAAUAACUUUUGUUGUUGUAAUUUUCCAUUCAAAAUACCAAGAAGUCUUUUUAUCUAUCCCGUGCUGCGAAUUCCUUUCGUCGUAAAAGUUAUCAUCUUUGUGAACGAAGGAUUGCUGCAGAAAAUUUUAGUCGCAUAUUGUUGCCUUUAACCGAUCUAUUUGCUAUCCUUUUUGAACGAAAUUUCUUAUACGCUUCAUAGAUCGUCUUGGCUUUCAUCUAAGAGUGAUCUAUUGAGGAAUUCAUCUCUAAAACGUUCUUGUAUUGUUGCAAAUUUUCGUUGCAAACCGUUGGAAUUUUUCAACAAGAAUUUUGCUAUCGCAACUUGCACCGAUUUCCUUGCUGUUAUACUGCCAAAAUCUUCUUGAUCAAAUUUGUCAUCAUUGUUGUUAUCUAAAUUGAGAUUUUGUUGUUAAAUUCCCUCCUCAAAUCUCUCAAUUUUAGCUGAAAAUUUCGUUGUGAAACCGUUGUUUCUUCGAUGACAAUUCUACUCUUACAUACACCAAUCCACCAACCCUUUCGGCCACCACUUCUCUCAACUGAUACAUGCCUCUAACCCGACAACAAAAGAGAGAUCUUAACGUUACAAAUUUGGAGGCAUAUACUAUGACAUCUGAGGAGACAAUCAAUGCUAAAUUUGAAGCUUUCGAGACGCGAAUGAAGGAUAAGAUUCAGACUCUCUUUACCAAACUCAAUUUGGGCCAACCACCGAGCCUGAAGAAAUCACAUCAAGGAGUGAGCUCUGACCGAAGAUAUGACUUCCAGGAGAGGGGAGGCUCUGUGAUCGAUCCCUAUUAUCCACGCAUAAGGGUGGACUUCCCUAGAUAGGAAGAAGGAGACCCGAUUGGUUGGAUCUCGCGCGCGGAACGAUAUUUUCAGUACCAUAAAACCAUGGACGCAUCUAUGGUGGAAAUUGCGGCUAUACAUCUUUAAGGGGAUGCCAUAUAAUGGUUUGAUUGGUUUGAACACACUUAUUGAGUCCUCUUAUGGCGACAAUUCAAAGAAGGAGUGCUGAUCCGCUUCGGACCAACCGAUUACGAGAACAUUGACGGACAACUAGUAAAGAUCCGACAAACCUCCACCAUUCAGGAGUACCAAACCAAGUUUGAAAGGUUAUCUAAUCAAACUCGUGAUUGGUCUGAAAAACAACUAUUGGGAACCUUUAUUGAGGGCUUAAAGCCGGAGAUCUAGGGAGAAGUUAAAGCGCGACAACCGUACACGCUUAUGGCAGCCAUCACUUUUGCACGAUUUCAAGAUGAGUGAUUGAACCAUAUAACCCGGAGGACUAGGGUCACUCCUCGACCAGCAAUACUGAAGCCCUCAGCCCCCCCUAUUGUCAACCGAGCCCCUGCACCAAAAAAGUUGAUAAGAGAAGAGCUUCGGGAGCGAUCUGCGAUGGGGUUAUGUUGGCAUUGCGACGAGCCGUGGAGCCGCGAGCAUUGUUGUUAAAAAGGGAGACUUCUUGUGAUUGAACCAGUAGAAGAAGAGGUCAUUGAACAUCCAAAAGAGAGCCUUGAACAUAAAGAAGAAGAUGCGUAAGAAGAGCCACAAUCGAUCGACUUUAUGGUACACGCGCUAGCUGGCUACUCAAACUCGCAAACGAUGAAAGUUGGAGGCCUUCUCAAACAACAAUCGAUCACUGUUCUCAUCGACACGGGCAGCACUAAUAACUUCAUAAACAGUAAGGUUGCUGCUCAGAUGGCGCUCCACAUCGAAGGUUGCAACAAGUUCGACGUAAAGGUCAUUGACGGCAGAAUCCUAAAGUGCGAUCAAAUAUGCCCGCUGGUGAAACUAUUACUAUAAGACCAAGAAAUUGUCUUCGACUUCUUCCUCCUACCAAUUGAUGAUUAUGAGGUCGUGCUUGACAUAGAAUGGCUGGCAACGCUAGGUGAUGUCUCUUGGAACUUUUCCAAAUUAAUUAUGAAAUUAUACUGCAAAGGCAAACAUAUUAUCCUAUGCGGGAAGCGCGGAAGGAAUGUAACCACCGUUUCGACCCAACGAAUGGAGAAAGUUCUACACAAGGUAAAUGGUGACAUUUUGAUGCAUCUCCAGUGACAACUAGAGGGGAAGAAAAUAUAAAUUGAAGAUCAAAAUCUUGGCCAAUUGCUUGCUGAAUUUGUUGACAUUUUUGUUGAACCUCGCGGUCUUCCUCCUACUCAGCAACAUGGCCAUCAGAUUCCAAUUCUUCCGGGCAAACCACCAGCAAACACUCGGUCGUACCAUUAUCCUCACCUCAAGAAGGAUGAAAUUGAAAAUAUUGUAAAGGAGAUGCUCGAAACAGGGGUGAUUCGGCCAAGUUGCAGCCCCUAUUCCUCACCGGUGCUACUUGUACGUAAGAAGGACAGAACUUGGUGGAUGUACAUCGACUACCAAGCUUUAAAUGACAUCACCAUCAAGGACAAGUACCUAAUAUCGUGGAUGAACUUCUUGACGAGUUAAAAGGAGCUAGAGUCUUCACGAAGUUGGAUCUCCGAUCCGAUUACCAUCAAAUUCGGGUAUAUGAAGACGACAUUCCAAAAUUGCAUUCCGCACACAUAACAACCAUUAUGAAUUCUUGGUAAUGCCUUUUGGAGUCACUAAUGCUCCUUCAACUUCCUAAAGUCUCAUAAAUGAUAUUUUUCGGAGCUUUCAUCGCAAAUUCGUGCUGGUAUUUUUCGAUGAUAUUCUCAUUUAUAACCCUUCUUUUGAGACUCACUUUCGGCAUUUACGGGUUGUUUUGACGAUCCUUCAGGAGAAUAUUCUUUUCGUUAAGUAAUCAAAGUGCAGCUUUCUCCAGCAAAAAUUAGAGUACCUUGGGCACAUAAUAUCAGAAGUAGCGGUAGACCCAACAAAAAUCGAAGCAAUGCAAGGCUGUCCGAAACCUACAAACGUGAAAUUACUGCACGGGUUCUUUGGAAUAACGGGUUACUACCGAAAAUUUAUGAAGGACUAUGAGAAGAUCAGUGCACCCUUCACUUCUCCACUGAAAAAAGACUCCUUCCAAUGGUCGGAUAAAGCCUCUACUGCCUUAGACAAACUUAAGGUAGCCAUGACGACGACGCCGGUGCUAGCGCUAUCAAAUUUCAGCCGACCCUUCAUCAUUGAGGCCGAUGCAUCUGGAGUUGGGAUUGGAGCCGUUCUCAUGCAAGAUGGUCGACCACUUGUAUACACCAGCAAGGUGUUGUCUCCCUCCCAUAAAAAAUGUCAAUAUAUGAUAAGGAGAUGCUCGCCUUUGUGCACGCAGUAACGAGGUGGAGACCCUACCUGAUCUGCCGGCGAUUUUAAAUUAAAACCGACCAUAGAAGCCUCAAGUACCUUUUGGAGCAGAAGAUAUCAUCACCUGAGCAGCAAAAAUGGGUAACCAAACUUCUAGGAUUUAAUUUGAAAUCCUAUUAUGUAGAUGCACUCAGCAAAAAUGGGUAACCAAAUCUCAAGUACCUAUUAUGAAAUUAUUUACAAAAAAGGGAAUGAAAACGUUAUUGUAGAUGCACUCUCACGGCUACUUGAGCAAACUGAAUUUUCAGCCAUCUCCCUUCCUACCACUAGCUUCUUCGAGGACAUUAGGGAGGAAUGGAAGAAGGAUCGCCCACUAUACUUAAGAUUCGAGGGAUCUACGUUACAAAGGUCGCAUUGUGCUUGUACCCGACUCCCCUUGCAUCAAAAUCAUCCUGUACGAAAUACACUCCACAUCUUCAGUAGGGCACUUCGGAUUUCUAAGAACCUACAAAAGAGUGAAGCAAAAUUUUUAUUGGAAAGUGAUGAAAAAAAUUAUUUUUGAUUAUGUGGCACAAUGUGAUGUAUGUCAACAACAAAAGGGUGAAACAGUGGUGAGUCCAAGGAAGCUACAACCACUAUCCAUACUGGACUCGAUGUGGACUGACAUAUCCAUGGACUUUAUCAAAGGGUUGCCAUCUUCCAAAGGUAAAAACACAAUCCUCGUGGUGGUUGAUUGACUUACGAAAUAUGCUCAUUUUUGUGCUGUGCGAAAUCCCUACAUUGCUGCUAGUAUUGCUUAGAUUUUCAUAGAAAAUAUUGUUAAACUGCAUGGGAUGCCAAGGUCCAUUAUAAGUGAUUGUGACAGGAUCUUCACCAGUAAAUUUUGGAUCGAGUUAUUUCAGUUACAAUGCACCAAACUCAAGAUGAGCACAACAUAUCAUCCACAAAUUGACGGCCAAACAGAGGUGGUGAACAUGUGUUUAGAGACAUACCUUCGGUGUUUCGCUAGUGACCGACCAAAGGAGUGGGCGAAAUGGCUUCCUUGGGCCGAAUGGUGGUAUAAUACUACAUAUUAUUCAUCUACAAAAUGUGCCCCAUAUGAAGCACUGUAUGGUUGGCCGACCCUUGUGAUUUCAAAGUAUGUAAUUAGCUCGGCCAAGGUAGAUUAGGUCGACCAAGAUUUAAUUGACAGGGACAAACUCCUACAGCUGCUAAAGGAUAAUCUCUCUACCGCUCAAGCUAGAAUGAAGCAGUAAGCCGACACACGAUGAAGCGAAAGAGAGUUUUCAGUAGGAGAUUGGGUCUAUCUUUGCCUACAGCCAUACAAGCAACUCUCCAUCAACACAUGAGCCUCCAUGAAGCUAUCCCCAUGUUUUUAUGGGCCCUAUCAAAUCACAGAGCAUACUGGAGUCGUGGCGUACAAACUUAAAUUGCUUGAGGAUGCCAAAAUUCACCUUUUCUUCCACGUGUCAUGCUUGAACACGAGUUACCCCAGAUCCAACUGCCAAACACCACUGAUGAUGGAGAUAUUUAAGCCUAACCACAAGUCAUCCUCGACCGUAGAAUCAUGAUGCGUCGUCGACGUCCCUCUACUGAAGUACUAGUGCAUUGGAAUAAUUUAUUACUCGAAGAUGCCAUAUGAGAAUCAUAUGAGGAGCUGAAGACCCGGUUCCCUGAGUUCAUGGAACCUCAGCUUUGAGGACAAGGUUGAUUUUGAGAGGACGGGCUUGAUAGGACCUUAGUAGGGUUGGGUCCUACUCAACCAAGAAGCAGCUAAUAAAAACCCUGUGAGAUUGUAAUAAACCCCACCUAGUCGUCUCUAUCCUAUAAAGGAGAGUAGCUAGGGUUUAUAUUUGCGCCUUUGGGCUUCCUAGCCAUCGCCCCCCCUUUACUGGGCCGGUCGACUAGGGUUGAGGGCAAAAGGGGUAACUCACUUAGGAAACAACCCCUAGGGCUAGGGUUUGGAGCCCUAUAUAAGCAUGUAGCCUCAUCUCUUUGGGAACAAGAUCUAUCUAUAAUUGCAGCCAUUUGACCGACUUCUAGGAGGGUGGAACCCCUAUAGCGUUCCAAGGGUUGAUCCCCCUCAAAGAUCAAUCUACAUAAAAUUCCUCUAGGGUUCUAUCGGAGCAUCUGCUAGACAUUAAUCAAAUAAGAUCAGUUAUACAUGUCAACCAUUUGUGGACAGUGGAUAUGACUUGCCAGAAGAGUACCUUCAUGAACCCUGUUAUUACUUGCAAUCACACAGUUUGGUAGUUCAGCUUAGCCAUUUGUGUUUACAGU